CAUUCGCUGCCUAUAAGCGCUACGGAUUUGACAAAAUUCACCGUAGAGUGCUUCGCACCCUUAGAUCGACAUAGAUAUGACGGAAUCACACUGAAGGGAGCCAUAAAAUAGCAAAACAAGCACCAAGCUUCAACACAGAUCGUCUUCUUCUCAUGCGUACCUUUGCAUGUAGCACCAGCCUCUCCUCUGCCUUUUUCUUUUUCUUUUUCUUCUUCUUUCUCUCCUCUCUCGAUUACU
rnacentral:lncRNA from 1 species